rnacentral:rRNA from 1 species
UAGGGAAUCUUCCGCAAUGGACGCAAGUCUGACGGAGCAACGCCGCGUGAGUGAAGAAGGAUCUCGGUUCGUAAAACUCUGUUGUUAGAGAAGAACAGCGCAUAGAGUAACUGUUAUGCGUGUGACGGUAUCUAACCAGAAAGCCACGGCUAACUACGUGCCAGCAGCCGCGGUAAUACGUAGGUGGCAAGCGUUGUCCGGAUUUAUUGGGCGUAAAGCGAGCGCAGGCGGUCAAUUAAGUCUGAUGUGAAAGCCCCCGGCUCAACCGGGGAGGGUCAUUGGAACCUGGUUGACUUGAGUGCAGAAGAGGAGAGUGGAAUUCCAUGUGUAGCGGUGAAAUGCGUAGAUAUAUGGAGGAACACCAGUGGCGAAGGCGACUCUCUGGUCUGUAACUGGCGCUGAGGCUCGAAAGCGUGGGUAGCAAACAGG